GAAACAGAUUGUUUGAAAUUAAGCUGCUAACUUGAAUUUUUAGCGGUUAGAUUCCGUUAUUGUUUCU
rnacentral:tRNA from 1 species